rnacentral:rRNA from 1 species
GACGAACGCUGGCGGCGUGCUUAACACAUGCAAGUCGAACGAUGAAGCCGGAGCUUGCUCUGGUGAAUUAGUGGCGAACGGGCGAGUAACACGUGAGUAACCUGCCCUUGACUCUGGGAUAACUGCGGGAAACUGUAGCUAAUACCGGAUACGACCCUCGGAGGCAUCUCCUGGGGGUGGAAAGAAUUUCGGUCAAGGAUGGACUCGCGGCCUAUCAGCUAGUUGGUGAGGUAAAGGCUCACCAAGGCGUCGACGGGUAGCCGGCCUGAGAGGGUGACCGGCCACACUGGGACUGAGACACGGCCCAGACUCCUACGGGAGGCAGCAGUGGGGAAUAUUGCACAAUGGGCGCAAGCCUGAUGCAGCAACGCCGCGUGAGGGAUGACGGCCUUCGGGUUGUAAACCUCUUUUAGCAGGGAAGAAGCGAAAGUGACGGUACCUGCAGAAAAAGCACCGGCUAACUACGUGCCAGCAGCCGCAGUAA